rnacentral:rRNA from 1 species
GUUGACCUCGGAUCAGGUAGGAAUACCCGCUGAACUUAAGCAUAUCAAUAAGCCGGAGGAAGGAGGAGAAAGAAAACG